rnacentral:rRNA from 1 species
GAUGAACGCUGGCGGCGUGCCUAAUACAUGCAAGUCGAGCGAACGGACGAGAAGCUUGCUUCUCUGAUGUUAGCGGCGGACGGGUGAGUAACACGUGGAUAACCUACCUAUAAGACUGGGAUAACUUCGGGAAACCGGAGCUAAUACCGGAUAAUAUUUUGAACCGCAUGGUUCAAAAGUGAAAGACGGUCUUGCUGUCACUUAUAGAUGGAUCCGCGCUGCAUUAGCUAGUUGGUAAGGUAACGGCUUACCAAGGCAACGAUGCAUAGCCGACCUGAGAGGGUGAUCGGCCACACUGGAACUGAGACACGGUCCAGACUCCUACGGGAGGUAGCAGUAGGGAAUCUGCCGCAAUGGGCGAAAGCCUGACGGAGCAGCGCCGCGUGAGUGAUGAAGGUCUUCGGAUCGUAAAACUCUGUUAUUAGGGAAGAACAUAUGUGUAAGUAAAUGUGCACAUCUUGACGGUACCUAAUCAGAAAGCCACGGCUAACUACGUG